UGAGCAAUCUGCCCUUCUCUUCGGAAUAAGCGUUGGAAACGACGUCUAAUGCCGAAUACGACCUCCUUUCGCAUGAUCGGAGGUGGAAAGCUCCGGCGGAGAAGGAUGAGCUCGCGGCCUAUCAGCUAGUUGGUGUGGGUAAUGGCCCACCAAGGCGACGACGGGUAGCCGGCCUGAGAGGGUGACCGGCCACACGUGGGACUGAGAUACGGCCCAGACCUCCGUACGGGAGGNAGCG
rnacentral:rRNA from 1 species